AUCACAGUGUUCUAAUAAAUGAGCAAUAGGUUCUGAAUGUACAUUAUUAUAUCUCCUACAGCUAUUCUAAAAGAAAAGCCUACCAGGGAAUUCAGCAAGCUGGAUAUCCAAUUUGAUGAGUGCAUGAAACAUUUUCUGGUUUGACAUGAUCAAGAUCAUUAAACAAAACUGUACUGGAGACUCAUUUGCAGAAAUUAAUAACGUGUGUGAGAGCAUGGCUGCUAGUCACCUAUUAGGAGGAUACCAAAUCUGUGUUGUCCAGGUGUGGAGAAGAGAGUAAGAAGAGGGAAAAAAUGACGUGCUCUGGUGAAGGGAUGAAAAUGAAGACUUCUGAGAUAAGUUUCAUCAUACUGCUUUUCUGCAAGUUUCACUUUUCAUGUUCUUGAUGAGAACUCUUUAUUUCAAUAUGAGUAUUUAGGAUUAAUAAAAC
rnacentral:lncRNA from 1 species